rnacentral:rRNA from 1 species
UACGGGGGGAGCAAGCGUUGUUCGGAUUUACUGGGCGUAAGGGGCGCGUAGGCGGCCACCGCAAGUCGACUGUGAAAUCUCCGGGCUUAACCCGGAAAGGUCAGCCGAUACUGCGGGGCUAGAGUGCAGAAGGGGCAACUGGAAUUCUCGGUGUAGCGGUGAAAUGCGUAGAUAUCGAGAGGAACACCUGCGGCGAAGGCGGGUUGCUGGGCUGACACUGACGCUGAUGCGCGAAAGCUAGGGGAGCGAACGGG